GGGUCCUUAGCUUAGUCAGGCUGAGCAACUGGCUCUUAACCAGUAGGUCGUGGGUUCAAAUCCCACAGGGCCCA
rnacentral:tRNA from 1 species